ACUCAGUUGGUAGAGUACAAGGCUCUUAACCUUAUGGAAAUGGGUUCAAGCCCCAU
rfam:Triticum aestivum genome assembly, contig: Triticum_aestivum_CS42_TGACv1_scaffold_210481_3AS